GGAGGAGGGAGGGGCCGUGAAUAGAAGUACUCAAGCCGUGUGAGCGAGGUACUCAGGGGACACCGCGUGAGCUUGCUACGCGUUUUUUGUGUAUGUGUAACGGAGAGAGAGAGAGCGAGCAGCUCGUUUAUGUUAGCCUGCUGGGCGCUGACCGGAAUACUUGAACUAGCAACGACGCAGCCUUUGGACUUUUGUCGAAGCUUUUGGGGCGACUAGACGACCGAAGCACCUGUUCCUGUGGCAGCCGCUAAACGGAGACGGAGGAGCGACGUCGCUCACUUGAGCACGGAGGGAGUGGAUGAGUUCGGUGGAUGAAGGUCUGUCUGGAGCCCAGAGGGGGGCCUUGGACGUUGGACCCCCUCUUUAGGAAGCGAGUCCAGUGAGGACGAGCAGCACUUUCCAGCCAUCAUGUGCACGCGGGCUUAUCCCGACGCCUUACCCAGCAGCCCGCUGUUCUCCAAAGAUGUCGAGGAAGACGAGGGCAAGGAGAGAGACUCGGACAGAGACAGCGCAGUGGAAAGCACCCAAGGCUCUGACACAUCGGAAGGUCCCACCAGACUAGGGGAUAAAGAAGACAUCUUGGGGGAUCUCUUCUUCCCUGCUGAGAAGACAAGUGGCACAAGCAACUCUGUUAUUUCUGACCUGUCGACGCGCUCCUCGGCUUCCCUGAACGAGGAGCAGUUUGAGGACUACGGCGAAGGAGGGGAGCCAGACUACGCUCCCAGCAGUCCUUCUCUCGACGACGACAACCGCAUCAACGGGUACUCUGAUCUUGGCUCAUCUGUGUCCUCAAGUGCGGGCCAGACACCUCGGAAGGUACGUCAACAGUACCCUGGUGAGAUGGUGGAUGUCUACUGUUCUCAGUGCAGCAAAAAAGUCAACCUGCUCAAUGACCUGGAAGCACGUCUCAAGAAUCUCAAGGCCAACAGCCCCAACAGGAAAAUCUCCAGUACAGCAUUUGGGAGGCAGCUGCUCCACAACAGCAACUUGAGUAGCAGCAACGGAAGCACUGAAGACCUUUUCCGAGAUAGCAUCGACUCUUGUGACAUCGACAUCAAUGAGAAGGUGAACUUAUUGGAAAAGAAAGUUGCAGAACUAGAGAAUGAAAUUUUGUUGAACGGUGAUCUGAAGUCCAAAUUGAAGCAGGAUAACACUCAUUUAGUACACAGAGUUAAUGAGCUGGAGGAGCAGCUGAAAGACCAGGAGGCCCGCGAGCACCAAAAUCUGCAGGGGGAGUUGAAACGACACCGAGAGGCCUUCGGCAAGAUGGAGAAAGACAAAAACACACAGAUUGAGCUGCUGAACAGCCGACUAAAGCAGCUGGAGGAUGAGAAAAAUGAAAUACAUGCUAGCAUGUGCAGACUCAAGACGCAGACAGAAAAAUUGGACAAGGAGAAGCAAAGGAUGACAGAUAAACUGGAGGACACCAGUUUGCGAUUGAAGGAUGAGAUGGACCUUUACAGGAAAAUGAUGGACAAACUGCGACAGAGCAAACAGCAGUUCCAGCAAGAGAAAGAAGCCAUGCAGGAGCUGAUUGAAGACCUGCGGCGAGAGCUGGAGCACUUGCAGCUCUUCAAGCUGGAGGCAGAGAAGCCCGGACGAGGGCGCAGCUCAACUUCCAGUCUGUCCGAGUAUAACAGUCGGACCAGAGAGAUGGAGCUGGAGUACGAGGUCAAGAGGCUCAAGCAGGAGAACCAGAGGCUGAAGGAGCAGAACGACGAGCUGAACGGUCAGAUUCUCAGCCUGAGCCUGUACGAAGCCAAGAAUUUGUGCGCCACGCAGACCAAGGCGCAGUCUCUGGCUGCCGAGAUAGAUAAUGCUUCCAGAGACGAGUUAAUGGAAGCCCUGAAGGAGCAGGAGGAAAUCAACAUGCGGCUGCGGCAGUACAUGGACAAAAUCAUUCUAGCCAUCCUCGAUCACAACCCAUCCAUCCUGGAGAUUAAGAAUUAGCAGGGACUCUGUGUCUGAAGAGACUGUGUGGAACAUUAGACACCCUGUUAUGGAACACAAACAACUGGAAUAUCCCCCCUGCUGUUUGUGGAUGAAAAACAUGGACAUACAGAAAGGGGAGUCACUCACUGCUUCUGCUGCUGUGACUCUUGAACGGCAUCUGUCCUUUUUCUACUAUGUCUGUUUUUUGGGGAUUGAACAAUAUUCGGACUAUUUGCAUACUGGUAUGAAAACUGGAACUGCACAUAGACAUAUUUUGUUGUCAUCAUAUUGAAGGGACAGUUCGCUCAGUGUAGGCCAAUAGUUCAGCACUGUGAGACAUAUGGCCAGUGUACCAUCAUCUGAUCUUUAAAGUGGCUACAUUUUGAGUCAUGGAGGUGGUGGGGAAAAAAUGUGAGUGAGAUGUUUGGUACCUGCACGUCUUAAGAGUGGGUUGUGAAAUGUGACAACGGUGGUCAGAGAGGACUUUAGAGUAAAAUGGGUCAUGUACCCAAACAGAAGAGGGUUUUGGUGAAGUUAAUGCUUAUGAUUGCUCUCGAGAACGUCUUCCAGAAACCUUGCAAUGACACAUGCUAUCACUCACUUUAGGGAGAGGAAAGCGCAGUUACCCAAGGAGUUUCUUUAACCUGGAAUUUACGUCAAUGCAAUGCUCUAGCAUUUCCCCAAUGCUUGAAAGGUUUCAAGAUGUCUCGGUGUUAUACAGAUUUUCGGGAUGGAACAAAAGAAGCUCAUGAUAACACAUGUAGUACCAAUGGUCCUAAUGCUCCGGUUCCGUGUCUGCUUAAAGAUCCGACUGCGUCUGUCGGCAACCCAUCUGCCACCACUAGAACCAGCAUUUGCACAAAAACAGUCAAGCUAAAUGUUACCAAGCCACCCCAUACUGUUAACGGAUACUUGAACAAUGUUAAGGACAAGGCUACCAAUGCAGCACCUCCAAGGACUAAAAGGAAACAACGAAGGACAAUUUCAGCUACAGCUGGUAUCUUGGUAAAUCACACUGCCAGUGAACCCCACGUGUUGGCCACCUCUGAGCAAGCACCAAAAGAACCUGGCCUGCCUGUGACAACCAGAAUGAAAAAUAAGAGAUGCAGAGGCACAAAAUCUGCACGUCCCAAGAAGCCAACUUUGCAGCUACUGGAGGAGGAAGACUGGGAAAAAGAAUGUGAAGACAACUUGGAAAAGACAUGUGCAGUCCAACCUUAUGGUCCAGAAGAUGUAUUUGCGAUUGCUUUUGAGGGUUUAACACUGGAACAGCGGGGCGACAUGCCUUACGCAGCCAGUUACAGUCCAGCUGCUCACCACGCACGCCCACUCCUGUUGUCCUGCUCCAUCAUCGCUGUUGAGCCUGAACAGUUUGCUGAUGCUUAAAUCCGCAUUUUGCUCCCACCUUGAUUCAUUACAGUAAAAUUUAUUCAUCCUUAUUGGGAGUUAGGAAGAUUAAGGUUCAUUUGUAAAAUACUACAAACAUCAGUUAUGUUAGCAUCUAUGUAAUUCAUUUAAAAAAAACGCAUAGGAGAUAUUUUGCGGUAGCUUUUAUUUCUUGUUUU